AUUGAACGCUGGCGGAAUGCUUUACACAUGCAAGUCGAACGGCAGCACGGACUUCGGUCUGGUGGCGAGUGGCGAACGGGUGAGUAAUACAUCGGAACGUGCCCGGACGUGGGGGAUAACUACUCGAAAGAGUGGCUAAUACCGCAUACGAUCCAAGGAUGAAAGCGGGGGAUCGCAAGACCUCGCGCGUUUGGAGCGGCCGAUGGCAGAUUAGGUAGUUGGUGAGGUAAAGGCUUACCAAGCCUGCGAUCUGUAGCUGGUCUGAGAGGAUGAUCAGCCACACUGGGACUGAGACACGGCCCAGACUCCUACGGGAGGCAGCAGUGGGGAAUUUUGGGACAAUGGGCGAAAGCCUGAUCCAGCCAUUCCGCGUGCAGGAUGAAGGCCCUCGGGUUGUAAACUGCUUUUGUACGGAACGAAAAGGCUCUUGCUAAUACCAGGAGUCCAUGACGGUACCGUAAGAAUAAGCACCGGCUAACUACGUGCCAGCAGCCGCGGUAAU
rnacentral:rRNA from 1 species